rnacentral:rRNA from 1 species
CCUACGGGAGGCAGCAGUGGGGAAUAUUGGGCAAUGGGCGCAAGCCUGACCCAGCAACGCCGCGUGAAGGAAGAAGGCUUUCGGGUUGUAAACUUCUUUUCUCAGGGACGAAGAAAGUGACGGUACCUGAGGAAUAAGCCACGGCUAACUACGCGCCAGCAGCCGCGGUAAUACGUAGGUGGCAAGCGUUAUCCGGAUUUACUGGGUGUAAGGGGGGUGUAGGCGGGACUGCAAGUCAGAUGUGAAAGCCACGGGCUCAACCUGUGGCCUGCAUUUGAAACGGCAGUUCUUGAGUACUGGAGGGGCAGACGGAAUUCCUGGUGUAGCGGUGAAAUGCGUAGAUAUUAGGAGGAACACCAGUGGCGAAGGCGGUCUGCUGGACAGCAACUGACGCUGAGGCGCGAAAGCGUGGGGAGCAAACAGGAUUAGAUACCCUUGUAGUC